CUUGAGAUUUGGGAUUUGGUUGAACUUGAGUUUGUGAAUCGUGUUUGAACUUGAGUUUGUGGUGUUUUUGAUCUUGAGCUUUUGUGUUUUUUGAACUGAAGUUUGUGGCAAUUGUUAAACUUGUGACUUAGGUGUUGGUUGAACUUGAGUCUGUGUGUUUUUCUAACUUGAGUUUGUGGUGUGUCUGAACUUGAGUUUUUGUUUUUCCACAACUUGAGGUUGUGGAAAUUGUUAAACUUGCAAAGUGGGCAUUGGUUGAACUUGAGUUCGUGUGUUUGUUGAACUUGAGUUUUUGUCAUUUAGAACUUGAGUUUGUGGUGUUUUUGAACUUGAGGUGUUGGCAGAUGUUAAACUUGAUAUUUGGGUGUUGUUUGAACUUGAGUUUGUGUCGUGUUUGAACUUGAGUUUGUGUCGUGUUUGAACUUGAGGUUGUGGAAAUUGUUAAACGUGAGAAUUGGGUAUUGGUUAAACUUGAGUUUGUGUGUUUGUUGAACCUGAGUUUGUGUCGUGUUUGAACUUGAGAUUGUGCUGUUUUGUGAUCUUUGAAUUUUCUAGGAUGAUGCAAUGUCCAGCCAUCAACACAUUUGUGAAGGAAUUUUUACUCCCCAAAAGAGCGCCCCCCAUUGCAGGAGAAAAAAUUCAAUUUUUUCUUGUCCCCUAAGGUGAAAAUACACAUUGUUGAGUGUCACGCCUAUACGCUUUGUCAUAUUGACACAAAAUUUGACAAUCACGUGUAUCUCAAUAAGAUCUAUGAAAAAGUCAAUGGGCACGUGUCUGUAAAAUGUACGGUUAAAGGGCUAUUUCGCAUUUUUUUGCCGAUUCGCACACAUUGGAAUGUGACUAACUCCUCCUAAGGCUUUCGUCCCACCGACACCAAAUUUGCUCAGGCCAAUCUACACCCCAUGGCCAUUCAAAGUUGUAAAAAUCAUGACGCUGCAUCCCACGGUUUACGUUCUAGGGGGCGCCAAAGAUGACCCAAAAAUCCACAUUCUUAAAAGUCGUUUUGGCCACUGAGUGGCGCCAAAGGGAGUUGUCUAUUAACAGCAGACAAAGUAGAUAUGGCCACUGAGGGGCGCCAAAGGGAGUUGUCUAUUAAAUCUGAUGCUACAGAAAAAGUUAAAAGGCUCACAUUUUUGCUAUAUUAGUGACUUUAUGUCUUAAAUGGACUCUUAAAGGGUUACAAAAAAUUAUUUUCAAUGAAACAUUUGCUAGUUUUGAACAGGGCAGAAGUAAGAUAAGAGAUGUACAAAAGAAAAAUCUGGAAAAAAUAUGAAUCCAAUUUGAUUUUACAGCAGACAAAGUAGUUUUGGCCACUGAGUGGCGCCAAAGGGAGUUGUCUAUUAACAGCAGACAAAGUAGAUAUGGCCACUGAGGGGCGCCAAAGGGAGUUGUCUAUUAAAUCUGAUGCUACAGAAAAAGUUAAAAGGCUCACAUUUUUGCUAUAUUAGUGACUUUAUGUCUUAAAUGGGCUCUUAAAGGGUUACAAAAAAUUAUUUUCAAUGAAACAUUUGCUAGUUUUGAACAGGGCAGAAGUAAAAUAAGAGAUGUACAAAAAAAAAUCUGGAAAAAAUAUUAAUCCAAUAUGAUUUUACAGCAGACAAAGUAAUUUUGGCCACUGAGUGGCGCCAAAGGAGCUGUCUAUUAACAGCAGACAAAGUAGAUAUGGCCACUGAGGGGCGCCAAAGGGAGUUGUCUAUUAAAUCUGAUGCUACAGAAAAAGUUAAAAGGCUCACAUUUUUGCUAUAUUAGUGACUUUAUGUCUUAAAUGGGCUCUUAAAGGGUUACAAAAAAUUAUUUUCAAUGAAACAUUUGCUAGUUUUGAACAGGGCAGAAGUAAAAUAAGAGAUGUACAAAAAAAAAUCUGGAAAAAAUAUUAAUCCAAUAUGAUUUUACAGCAGACAAAGUAAUUUUGGCCACUGAGUGGCGCCAAAGGGAGCUGUCUAUUAACAGCAGACAAAGUAGUUAUGGCCACGGAGGGGCGCCAAAGGGAGUUGUCUAUUAAAUCUGAUGCUACAGAAAAAGUUAAAAGGCAUCAAAGUCAAUCAUAUUACUUAUCUCUCACAUAUUCAAGACUUUGAUGCCCUGCAAUAUAUAAUAUAUAUUAUAAUGUUUGAUAAAAAAGAAUUGGUCAUUUUCCUUACCCCCCAUGGCAGGAGAAAUUUUAUUUUUCUUGCGUGUUGCUCAAUGGCUGAAACGCAUCGCUCUCCCGGCAACACCGUAAGGAGGAGCAACUUGCCAUUUGGAUAUAUCCUAGCUGUGUUUGUGCCCUCACUCAUGGUCCAGACUUUUUUCAUAUAGGACAUGUAGUUUGUCUGCAGCGAGUGUUUUGGUAGAAACUGCGCCUCCCAUUCAUUAUAAUGGUAAAAGACCAAAGACAGGUGCGCACACCAUCUUUGG